rnacentral:rRNA from 1 species
CAGUCGCGCGGUAAUGCGUAGGGUGCGAGCGUUAAUCGGAAUUACUGGGCGUAAAGCGUGCGCAGGCGGUUGUGUAAGACAGGUGUGAAAUCCCCGGGCUUAACCUGGGAACUGCGCUUGUGACUGCACAGCUAGAGUAUGGCAGAGGGGGGUGGAAUUCCACGUGUAGCAGUGAAAUGCGUAGAGAUGUGGAGGAACACCGAUGGCGAAGGCAGCCCCCUGGGCCAAUACUGACGCUCAUGCACGAAAGCGUGGGGAGCAAACAGGAUUAGAUACCCCCGUAGUCCCUGUCUCUUAUACA